AGACUUGCCCGCGGGUGAUCAGCCGGUAUUCGUACCGGUGCACUCGCCCGUGGUCAGGCCAGCAUCGGUUUGGGCGGCUGGAUAAAGUCCCCCGGAAUGUAGCUCCUCUCGGGGAGUGUUAUAGCCGGAGGUGUCAUGCAGCCCGCCCGGACCGAGGACCGCGCUUCGGCUAGGAUGCUGGCGUAAUGGUUGUAAGCGACCCGUCUUGAAACACGGACCAAGGAGUCUAACAUCUAUGCGAGUGUUUGGGUGUCAAACCCAUGCGCGUAAUGAAAGUGAACGGAGGUGGGAACCCUCAAGGGUGCACCAUCGACCGAUCCUGAUGUCUUCGGAUGGAUUUGAGUAAGAGCAUAGCUGUUGGGACCCGAAAGAUGGUGAACUAUGCCUGAAUAGGGUGAAGCCAGAGGAAACUCUGGUGGAGGCUCGCAGCGGUUCUGACGUGCAAAUCGAUCGUCAAAUUUGGGUAUAGGGGCGAAAGACUAAUCGAACCAUCAAGCUAGGUGGUUGAUCGAGGUGCGGGUUUGACUCCACCUCCAGUCUCCUUGGAGGCGACAUCGUCACUUGCGUGAACCUUUCGGGUGAAAUUGACACGCCGCAGUGCGUUGGUGCACUGUACACAGACCAGAUGACGGUGGUCGGCGUCGGGUGUCGACGUCGAUUCAGAUAUGGCCGAGACCACCUUAGCGAUGAGGUGGCCCCGGAGACCUACCCUGGAGA
rnacentral:rRNA from 1 species